CCCUUAGAUGUUCUGGGCCGCACGCGCGCUACACUGAUGCAUGCAACAAGUCUUUUCCUUGGCCGAGAGGCCUGGGCAAUCUUUGAAUAUGCAUCGUGAUGGGGAUAGACGAUUGCAAUUAUUCGUCUUCAACGAGGAAUUCCUAGUAAACGCAAGUCAUCAGCUUGCAUUGAUUACGUCCCUGCCCUUUGUACACACCGCCCGUCCCACCUACCGAUUGAAUGGUCCGGUGAAGGCUUCGGAGGCGGCUUUCUCAAUGUUUAUUCGGCGAGACUGCUGCAAAAGUUGAAUGAACCUUACCAUUUAGAGGAAGGUGAAGUCGUAACA
rnacentral:rRNA from 1 species